rnacentral:rRNA from 1 species
GGCCGGUAUCCAGAGUACCACGAGACACGUGAAACCUUGUGGGAAGCCGGGUGGACCACCAUCCAAGGCAAAAUACUACUUAACGACCGAUAGCGCAUAGUACCGUGAGGGAAAGGUGAAAAGAACCCCGGGAGGGGAGUGAAAUAGAACCUGAAACCGUAUGUCUACAAGCAGUCGAAGCACUUUAUAUGUGCAACGGCGUGCCUAUUGAAGAAUGAACCGGCGAGUUAUUUUUGUUAGCGAGGUUAAGCGGAAAACGCGGAGCCGAAGCGAGAGCGAGUCUGAAUAGGGCGGCAGUUAGCAGGAAUAGACCCGAAACCACAGUGAUCUAUCCAUGACCAGGUUGAAGCUCAGGUAAAAUUGAGUGGAGGACCGAACCCGUGAGUGUUGAAAAACUUUGGGAUGAGUUGUGGAUAGGGGUGAAAUGCCAAUCGAACGUGGAGAUAGCUGGUUCUCCCCGAAAUAGCUUUAGGGCUAGCCUCAAGUAUAAAUACAGACGGUAGAGCACUGAUCGGGCUAGGGGGCGUAAAGCCUACCGAACCCAGUCAAACUGCGAAUGGCUGUAAUGCUGAGCUUGGGAGUCAGACUGCGAGUGAUAAGACCCGUAGUCAAGAGGGAAACAGCCCAGAACGCCAACUAAGGUCCCUAAUGCUGUACUAAGUGGUAAAGGAUGUAGAAUUUCGAAAACAACCAGGAUGUUGGCUUAGAAGCAGCCACCAUUAAAAGAGUGCGUAAUAGCUCACUGGUCGAGAGGUUCUGCGCCGAAAAUGACCGGGGCUCAAGUACAGAACCGAAGUUGCGUCAAUGUACCUAGUACAUUGGGUAGGGGAGCGUUCCAUACACGACGAAGGUAUACCGUAAGGAGUGCUGGAGAGUAUGGAAGUGAGAAUGCCGGUAUGAGUAGCGAAAAGAACAGUGAGAAUCUGUUCCACCGAAAGCCUAAGGUUUCCUGAGCAACGCUCGUCGUCUCAGGGUAAGUCGGGACCUAAGCCGAGGCAAAAAGCGUAGGCGAUGGACAACAGGCUAAAAUUCCUGUACCACUUACAAUCGUUAUGAGCAAUGGAGUGACACAGUAGGGAGCUUGAGCGCGCGACUGGAAGAGCGCGUCGAAGCCGGUAGGGUGGCAUAUAGUUAAAUGCGUAUGCUGAGACCUGAGAAGUGAUAGAUAGAUGAGUCUUCGGACGAGUCAAAUUUGAGCGAACCACACUGUCGAGAAAAGCUUCUAGCCAGAAAGUAAGUGCCCGUACCGCAAACCGACACAGGUAGGCGGGGAGAGAAUCCUAAGGUGCGCGGGAAAACCCUUGUUAAGGAACUCGGCAAAAUGUAUCCGUAACUUCGGGAAAAGGAUAGCCUGAAUUUGUGAAGACCCAUGCGGUCAGAGCGAAGGCAGGCGACAGAAGAGAGGCCCAAGCGACUGUUUACCAUAAACACAGGUGCUUGCUAAAGAGAAAUCUGACGUAUAAGUGCUGACACCUGCCCGGUGCUGGAAGGUUAAGAGGAGGAGUUAGGAGCAAUCCGAAGCCCUGAAUUGAAGCCCCAGUAAACGGCGGCCGUAACUAUAACGGUCCUAAGGUAGCGAAAUUCCUUGUCGGGUAAGUUCCGACCCGCACGAAAGGUGUAACGACUUGGGCACUGUCUCAACAAGGGACCCGGUGAAAUUGAAAUACCUGUGAAGAUGCAGGUUACCCGCGACUGGACAGAAAGACCCCAUGGAGCUUUACUGCAACCUGAUAUUGAUUUUCGGUAAAUAAUGUACAGGAUAGGUGGGAGACUAAGAAGAGAGGACGCAAGUCUUUUUGGAGUCAACCUUGGGAUACCACCCUUUAUUUACUGGAAAUCUAACUGAAGAAGUAACGAAACUCAAGACAGUGUCAGGCGGGCAGUUUGACUGGGGCGGUCGCCUCCCAAAAUGUAACGGAGGCGCCCAAAGGUUCCCUCAGCGCGGACAGAAAUCGCGCGAAGAGUGUAAAGGCAGAAGGGAGCUUAACUGCGAGUCAGACACGACGAGCAGGUACGAAAGUAGGGCUUAGUGAUCCGGUGGUACCGAGUGGAAGGGCCAUCGCUCAACGGAUAAAAGCUACCCUGGGGAUAACAGGCUAAUCUCUCCCAAGAGUCCAUAUCGACGGGGAGGUUUGGCACCUCGAUGUCGGCUCAUCACAUCCUGGGGCUGAAGCAGGUCCCA